CUUUGGAACUAUUUUGGGCAAAAUUUUACCCUAGUGGCGAUUCGGCUAUACUACACCGAGGCGAGCACUAUCUGUACAACUUGCCGGGCUAUCCGGGGAUAUAACACUUGUGUGUAUUUUGGGGUGUUUUGUAAGGUACCUCAAGUGCCUGGGAGAUUAUUAGUUUAAGGAAAAGCCAGCACUCUUAUCUCCCAGACAUGGGAGCCUGGGCGUGUUUACUGUAAAACUGUAAAACUGAAUGGAGACC